GACAGAGGGUGCAAACGUUGUUCGGAAUUACUGGGCGUAAAGCGUGUGUAGGCGGCUCUGCAAGUCGGAUGUGAAAGCCCUGGGCUCAACCCAGGAAGUGCACUCGAUACUGCAGAGCUUGAGUAUCGGAGAGGUUGGUGGAAUUCUCGGUGUAGAGGUGAAAUUCGUAGAUAUCGAGAGGAACACCGGUGGCGAAGGCGGCCAACUGGACGAGUACUGACGCUGAGACACGAAAGCGUGGGGAGCAAACAGG
rnacentral:rRNA from 1 species